UACUAAAAUUGGAGCAAUAAACUAAAUUGGAACAAUACAGAAAAGAUUAGCAUGGCCUCUAUGCAAGGAUGACACCCAAAUUCAUCCCCAUAUUUAU
ensembl:snRNA LOC120097317 U6 spliceosomal RNA